UAUAAGCUAAUUCCUUUAUUGCUUCAAAUUUUUUAAAAAUAGUGUUAAUUUGCAUUAAACAAAGCAACUUUCAUAUACUAAACAAAAAUGUCACAACCGACAGUCCAAAUAAUGGCCUCAUUUCCUAGUGGCUCAGAAAGACAGGAAAUAAUCCCAAGGACCCUAGUUCAGACAGACUAGAGAGAGUAGACUGUGGCUAUCUUACAUAAAGGCUAUGUCACAGUUCAAUGGGAUCCUAUACUUUGGUAGCUUCCCCCCACGAGUCCCCUAUGUGACUAAGGACUAGGAUAAGAGUGACAGCUUCACAAAGGCGAUAAGAGAUAAACCUUCUUCCUAGCACAUUCAAAGACUCCAGAAUCCAAAACUUAACUUCUCUGCUGUCCAUCCAUCCAAUUUUCAUUAAGAGCAAUUUGUAUCAUCUAGGAAGCUUCAAAGUCAAAUACUACCUUUAUUUUUACCUUAUCAAACCCAUAAAAUCACGGCCAGGGUGUGGUCUGGACAUGGGCCUUGGUUAACAUCACAAAAAUUCUCAAAUCAAAUAAUUGGGUUAAGUUAGAGCAAAGUUCAUCAACAAUAAGAUGACAGAAUUCAGGCAAAGUCGGCUUCCUUCUUGCAUUUCAGGAAGGCUAGCAUUGUUCCUAAUACUAGUACAUAGGUGUAAGUAACCUCUGAGUGGGUAAUGCCACCAAACAAAAGCAACACCUUCAAAGUCUCUCUCAGUGACUAGAGGCAGCCAGACACUCAAACUGCCAGUCCUGAAUUACGGCCUCUGAAUGGUGAGGGCUUCACAUUUCACUGAUCAGGGCACAGCCCAAUCAGAAGACAAACCCCUGCACUGCCAGGGACCAGCAAAUCCGCUUUCUUCCAGUGUGCACAUGACUGAAUGUGCUUCUGUCCAUCAUCUGGGUCAUAUAUAGUUCAAUGCGAGCUGAGCAGACAGGGCUGCAAGGAAAUCUGGCGCGGUUCAAUACCUCAUCUAGUCUGGGUUCCAGUAUCUAAUUUUUUUUUUACUGACAAACUCAUUUCUCUACCGGGACAGGAUGCUGUGCUGGCUGGGAGUUCCAUUUCUACAGCAAGAAUCCUAUCUGGAAACAGAGAAGUUGUCCUCUAAGCCACAGCAGCUCGAACUUUUUUGAUUGUUGUUGCUGCUUUCUCCCAUCACCCCCACCCCCUUUUGACAAAGAUCCAACUGUAAAAAGUCUUACGUAACAGUUCAGGACUCCUUCGGUUCUUUUACUGGUAUAUCAAGAGGCCUCAAGAGGACUAUGAAAACAUUUACAUCUCCAACUCAGAGCAAUGUGGGUUUCACAAUAUUUCAUAGUACCUCUGGAAAAGGAAAGAAAGGAGUACAGUGGGUCCUCCGUAUCCAAGAUGUGGAGGACCAACGAUACUGCACCAUUUUAUAUAAGGGACUUGAGCAUCCUCGGAUUCUGGUGUCCAAGGAGGAUCCUGGAAUCAAUUCCUGUGGAUACCGAGGGACGACUGUAAAUAGCUGAGGCAAAACACUAGAGUAAAAAAGAAAUAAUGGUUUGGGAUAGUAUGGAGUUAGAAAACCUGAAUUUAAUUCCAAUUUCUGCCAUGGUUAUGUGUUCUUGAACAAGUGAGUCACCUCUUAAGCCUUAAUUCUCCGUGAAAGAGAGACUAAGUAUACCUCUCCUAUCUUCACAGGAUUGUUGUGAGGCCUCAGAGACAGCACAGUGAAAAAAUGUGCUGCAAACAGCACACAGCAGUACAGCCCAAUGCAUCCUGGCCUUUGACGGUACUAUCCCAUGGCUUAUCCCCACUUUUAGUAGAUAAGAUUCGCUCACUCCCCAAACUCUCACCUACUUGUCAACCAGAAGCACGUAUUUGCAAGAUGUCUAGCUGAGGUUAUUAAACUAUAACCUGGGGCUGAAUGCAGGCGUUUUUCUGUAUAUAUGUGUCACCAGCAUAGGCAGUCCAUCAGAGCCACAAUCUAUUUGUUUAGGUCUUUGUAAAAUUCUCUCAGAAAUAUUUUAGUUUUUAGUGUACAAAUCUUACACUUCUUCUGUUAAAUUUAUUCCUAAGUAUUUUAUUCUUUUGAGGCAAUUGUGAAUGGAAUUGUUUUCUCACUUUCAUUUUUGGACCGUUGCUAGCUAUAAAAAUACAACUGAUUUUUGUAUAUUGAUCUGGUAUCCUGUGACCUUGCUAAACUCAAUUAGUUAUACUUGUUUUGUGGUUUUUUUGUGAAUUAUUUAGGAUUAUAUAUAGGAUUAUGUCAUCUAUGAAUAAAAACAGUUUUAAGACAUCCAAUUUAGAUGCCUUCCUCCCUAACCCCCACAUCACUGUACUAGCUAGAACCUCCAGUGAAGGUUGAAAAGAAGUAGUAAGAGCACAUUCUUACCUGCCUUAUUCCCAAUCUUAGGGGAAAGGUACUUUUAUUUACCCAGUUAAGUAUUAUGUUAGCUAAAUUUAGGCUCUUCAUAGAUGUCCUUGGUCAAACUGCAGAAGUUGCCUUCUAUUCCUAGUUUGUUGGGAGAUUUUGAUCAUGAGUGGGUAUUGAAUUUUGUCAAAUGUUUUUCCUGUGUCUACUCAGAUGAUCAUGUGGGGCUUUUUAACCUUUAUUAGACUUAUUUUAUGGCCCAGAAUACUCUUAGAGACUGUUCCAUGUGUACUUGAAAAGAAUGUACAUUCUGCAUGGAGUAUUCAAUAAACGUGAGCUAUGGUAAGUUGGUUGAUUACUUCUCAAUUUGUUAUAAGCCUAUGGUUGUUGUUGAUAGUUUUAUUCAGCUUUACAGUUGCUUUUGGGGGACAGGCUGUGUUGACCUUCUCACUCACUCAUGCCAGAAAUGAAUCUCCUCCUCAGGUAUGUUUUUACAAAUAUCAUAAGUGAUAAAAUCCUAAUCUUGGUGAAGCCAAACAGCUAGUCUGAAUUCCAGUCUAUUUUCCUGAAGUUA